AGUGGCGGACGGGUGAGUAACACGUAAGCAACCUGCCCGGUAGUGGGGAACAACGGGCCGAAAGGCUCGCUAAUACCGCAUGUGAUGGCUGUUCUUCGGGAUGGUCAUGAAAGCCUUAAGGCGCUACCGGAGGGGCUUGCGGUCGAUUAGCUAGUUGGCGGGGUAAUGGCCCACCAAGGCUACGAUCGAUAGCUGGUCUGAGAGGACGGUUAGCCACACGGGGACUGAGAUACGGCCCCGACUCCUACGGGAGGCAGCAGCUAGGAAUCUUGGGAAUGGGCGAAAGCCUGACCCAGCAACGCCGCGUGGGCGAUGAAGGCCUUCGGGUCGUAAAGCCCUUUUGCAGGGGAAGAUGAUGACGGUACCCUGCGAAUAAGCCACGGCUAACUACGUGCCAGCAGCCGCGGUAAUACGUAGGUGGCAAGCGUUGUCCGGAUUUACUGGGCGUAAAGGGCGUGCAGGCGGUCUGUUAAGUGCAGGGUGAAAGCUCCCGGCUCAACUGGGAGAGGUCCUUGCAUACUGGCGGACUUGAGGGGGGUAGAGGAAAGUGGAAUUCCCGGUGUAGUGGUGAUAUGCGUAGAUAUCGGGAGGAACACCUGUGGCGAAGGCGGCUUUCUGGGCCCUACCUGACGCUGAGACGCGAAAGCGUGGGGAGCGAACCGGAUUAGAUACCCGGGUAGUCCACGCCGUAAACUAUGGACACUAGUGUGGGGGGUAUCGACCCCCUCCGUGCCGCAGCUAACGCAAUAAGUGUCCCGCCUGGGGAGU
rnacentral:rRNA from 1 species